GUAAGAAACGCCAAUGCACUGCGUUUUUUCAUACUGCAAAUUUAAGAAACUUCAAACAUUGAUCUAAAAAUAAGUUUAUUCGAGUUUUAAAAGGUCUGCAACAGUUAAUUAAGCGAAUUAUUUCUACCAGAACUAAAGGGGCGAGGACAGCCGUAAACCGUUGGUCUUCGGUGGCGCAUCUUACUGUGCGACAGCACGGUUGACAAUGGCUUGCCCAUAUGGACAUGACGAAGGGAACCUGCUGGAAUACGAGGGGAAAGUGGAAGAACGAGCUACCACCAAUGGCAGUACGGAAGAUGACCAGAAUCAAAAACCCACUGACGAUGUGGAUCGCGUUGUGUUGCAUACUCCCUGUCACGGUGUCAACCUGCUCUUCAAAGACAUGUCACUGAAACCCGAAAUCUUGAAGGGGAUCUUCGAUGCGGGCUUUGAGCAUCCGUCCCAAGUUCAAGCAAAAUGUAUUCCCAAAGCGAUGUCGGGUGUGGAUAUUUUGUGUCAGGCUAAUCCACGCAUGGGCAAAACAGCGGUGUUCGUUAUUUCCACCUUACAAAUGAUCGACUCACAAACCCUCGCUCAGCCGACCGUCCUGGCGCUGGCACCUACGCGAGAAUUGGCCUCGCAGAUCGAAGCCGACUACCGCCGCCUCAGCCAGUAUUUUAGUGGAAUCCGAAUCAGCCUCUUCUGCGACGGCAAUCCUUUGUUGGCAGACAUGCGGAAACUGCGCUCCGGCCCUAUUCACAUCGUCGUGGGCACCGCAGGUCGCCUGAAGACUUUGAUCCGUGAGCGCGUGCUGAAUCUGUCGCACAUCAAACACUUUAUUGUGGACGAAUGCGACAAGAUGCUGGGCCAACUGGACAUACAGUCGGAUGUGCACGAGAUUUUCCUGGAAACACCGUUCGAAAAGCAAGUUAUGAUGUUCGGUCCCACCUUCCAGACCGCGGUUUUGCAGGAUUGCCGAAAGUAUUUGUCGAAGGAAGCAUUCGAAAUGUUAGUGGUGGAACCUGUUCAUCUCGGUACAGUGGAAAUUCAGAAUCAAGAAUCAGUAGACGCUCUGGACCGCGUUGUGCUGCAUACUCCUUAUCACCUCUCUGGCUUUGAAGGCCGCGAACUCCUCAUUAUGUGUGCUGGUGGAGAAGAUACGGGCAUUAAACUGUGCACGGUGGAAUGUUUCCGUCCAUUUAAAUCGGAAUGGGGAUAUUUGAUGUCGCUACCAGUGGCACUUAGUAAAGCGGGAAUCGUGGGCUGCGAUAAACUCGUUUAUUUAUGCGGGGGUGAAUUUGCCAACGGCGCCGCUUCUGAUGGAGUGUUGUGCUAUGAUGCUAUGAAUAACCAGUGGCUAACGAAAGCACAUAUGUUGUCGGGUCGACAUUCCUUUGGCACAGCUACGUUGAUCGAUUACGUUUUUGUCGCUGGCGGUAGGAAUGGAGCAUCGGUUCUGAAAACGGUGGAGCGAUAUGACGCGGUAUCUGAUACGUGGGAAUUUGUAGCCAGCCUACCUGCUCCGCUCACCGGUUGCUCCAUGUUAGCCGUAAAAGGCAGAUUGUAUUUGUUCGGAGGAAUGUCAGUGUUCGGCGGAGCAUUAUCGGAUAAAGUGUAUCAGUACGACAUCGACGCUGAUAAGUGGAGUUCAGUGAAAUCAAUGCCCUUGUGUCGAAGUGGAGCGGUAGCGUGUGUCGGCCCGGACGGUUUGAUUUAUGUUGUGGGCGGAAUAUCGCGCGAUAUGGAGGUUUUGUGUCGCGUGGAUGCCUACGAUCCCUUUGCCGAUAAGUGGCUACCAAAAGAUUCCAUGCGGGUUCCCCGCUACUUGCCCGGGAUUGGGGUUUUUGAAGGUCGAAUGUAUGUUUUCGGUGGAGAAAAAUCUCUGAAUUGUCAUGACAGCAGUAUUGAAGCAUAUGAUUUCGUGGCGGAUGAGUGGUCGCUUCUGAAUACCAUGUUGCCGAGCGCUCGUAGCGGGCAAAGUUGUGUCGCGGUUGCGGUUAAUAGCGUGUUUGUGCGGUCAUCAUUUCGGAUGGAUCUUGUACAUGGUCGUAUUGGUUGUAACAGUACCACAUUUUUUAACGCGGGGAGAUGAAUUGGUUGCGUUUGCUACCAGAUGGGAUGUUUCAUCUGCGGCAUGUUACUGAUACGGUGUACCUUUGCCUAAAAAAUUUCUCGCAGUAUUGUCUAAUGGAAUUCUUUCGUUUAAGUGUUUUAUUGCAAGCGAUCUGUAUGCUGUUGUGAUUAAUCACCAAAUUAUACACUUGGAUAAGAAUACGAAGGGGUACAAACUAACUAGCAAAACUCUGUUGGGCAAUUUUACAUUUCUGUGCUGUAAACUGAAACAUCAUGAGGAUAGUGGAAAGUGGAAUGUCUUACUUUACUUAUGUAUGUCUUAUGGAGUGAUUUACGGGCUUUCGUGCCUGACGAAACAUUCGCCAAAUUUAUGGAUCUUAAUGGGAGGACGGCUGUUGGCCGGUAUUGCCACUUCCAUUAUGUGCACAUCUUUUGAGGCUUGGCUUGUGUGCGAAUGCAACAAGAAGGGUCUGUCGAUCGCCCAGUUGGGAGACAUACUAUCAGGAGCUACGAAACUUAAUGGAAUUAUUGCCAUUCUGUCCGGUGUAGUCGCGCAGUUCGCGGUCAGUACUUCCGGGAAAUUAGUG